CCUUCACACACGCCCCAAACGCACCUCGGCGAGCCACCCGAGGAGGAAAACUAGUGGGGCAGAGCCCUGAACCACCUCUCUUUCUCCAUAAGCAUCUCAAGACUUGGAAACUAAGAGGACAGACCUUUUCCUCCUCCUUCCCGCCCUCCUUCCCACCUCCGACAGACCCAAGAGCAGGAGCGGGGGCGCCAGCCCCACGCACUGCGCCUGCAGCCGCCGCUGAGACCCGAGCUGCCGGGCGGCGGGGCGGCCCGGGGCAGGCGGACCGGAGCCGCCACCGGGGGUCUCUGCGCCUCGCACCCCCAAGCCCGGCGCUGCCGACGAGCGGCCGCCCGGGUCCCUGCCCUCGCUCCGGCCUCGCUCCCCCGAGAGGAGACAAAAGGAAGGUUCAGCCGGGUCACCGCGCGGCCGCUGACGGGGAAGCAGAGUCGACCCCGGCGCGGCCGCCCCCCACACAAAGGGGCUCCCCGCCUGGGUCGCGGCGUCGGCGCACUCGUCCCCGCCCCGCGCGCGGGCUCUCACCCACCUGCAGGUGUCUGUGCGUCUGUCCAUAGGAACGCGGUCGGCGCGGGGGGGCCUGCGAGAGCCGGGCAGCCCGGGCUGGACGGGACGGGCCGAAGGGGCGCGAGGGCGGGAGGAGAGCGGCCAGAGGGCCGGGCACCAAAGGUGUGGAACCCGCCGUCCCCGCUAUGGUCCGAGGAAGUGUACAGCACUGCUCCCUACUACACGUCCUGGGCCCGCGGUCCCCGAUGCCCCCCGGAGCUCUGUGCACCUCCACUGAAACGCAAGGAGCAGACAGAACCUACACCAUCCGUGAGUGUCAGUACGGGGUCUAUCACAUAGUGGAAUUAAUGAGGAAACAGACUCAAAAAGGAUUUUGGCUUGCUCAAGGUCACACAGCUUGUAUGAGGCAGUGCUGCAAUUUAAAGCCAGGUAUACUUUCUCUUUUUUUGAGACGGUUUCAUUCUGCCGCCCAGGCUGGAGUGCGGUGGUGUUAUCUCAACUUACUGCAGCCUUCACCUCUGGGCUCAGGCAAUCCUCCUACCUUAACUGGAGUAGCUGGGGACUACAGCUCCAGAACGUGGUUUUGGUUGCAGCUGCAGUUUCUCUUCUUUGAAUUCUGGAACAGCACCUAUAAGAUAUUAUUGAAGCAAAUGACCUUAAUGCUUGGCAGUGAAGGACCCCACACAGAAUUAAUUAAUCAGCAGGACAGACUUGCCACCAAUUAGACCUAUUUGACCAAAAUGACUUUAAAUGCAUUAAGUGGCAUCUAAAAGCAUAAAUCAAAUUGACAGAAUAACAGUCAAACACACAUCAAUUAUGACUAUAAAUGUAAAUCUUUAUACUCUCCAAAUAAAAGGCUGACUUUCAGAUUAGGUUAAAAAAUACUACUAAACUAUAAAUAUUUAUCAUAAACAAACCUUCUAUAAUCUGAGUACUUUGUGAGGCCAAGGCUGGGCGUGGCGGCUCAUGCAUGUAAUUCCAGCACUUUGGGAGGCCAAGGCGGGUGGAUCACUUGAGCCCAGGAGUUCGAGACCAGCCUGGGCAACAUGGAGAAACCCUGUCUCUACAAAAAAUACAAAAAUUAGCUGGGCGUGGUGGUUGGUGCCUGUAGUCCCAGCUACUUGGGAGGCUGAGGUGAGAGGAUCACUUGAGCCUGGGAGGUAGAGGCUGCAGUGAGCCGAGAUCACGCUACUGCACUCCAGCCUUGGUGACAGAGGGAGACCCUGUCUCAAAAAAAUAAAUAAAAGAAACAGACCUAAACACAACUACUGGAGUAUGAGGGAUGAUAAUCAAUCACUCCUUUGUCAAUUUCUCUCAGUUCUAAAACCAAAUGAGAACAAAAAGACAUUGGAAUCAGAAAGAUGGAAAUCAAAAUAUCAGCUGUGGAACUGGUGGAGCUAAACUGAAGACUGUAGCUUGAAUCAACACCCAAGUGUACUUUCUAAUCACUCCACCUCUAAAUUCAAUCUAUUCACCUAGUCCUUUCACCCAUGGAUUGACCCUGCAUCCUCCCAUCACGGGUUAGAAAUGCUCUUAAGUAGAGAUCAUGUAAAAAACUGAGGACAGCCUGCUCAGAAAGAGAGAAUGCUCAGAAGGGUCUGACACACAACCUCAGUUUCUUCUCCCUGUCUCACUUAUUCAGAUUAUCCCUCCCACUAGAUGAAAAGGGAGGUUAAACUGUUAGUCCCCUGACUAACAGGCUGCCCUCUCUGGAAACACUAGGUCACGGGAAUGGAGGUUACCUGCAACAUUUUAAAACUUGCAUUCACUUAACCCACUGGCUAUAACAACUUAACAUAUGAUCAGCCAGGGGAGAAGACAGCAGUUCAUAGGACUGCUUUGCUCCCAUAUCAUGAUGCUGCCCCCCAAUACUGUCUCUGUUCCUUUAUUUAUUUUUGAGACAGUCUCGCUUUGUCACCCAGGCUGGAGUGCAGUGGCUUGAUCUCGGCUCACUGCAACCUCCGUCUCCUGGUUCAAGUGAUUCUCCAGCUUCAGCCUCCCGAGUAGGUGGGACUACAGGUGCCCACCACCGUGCCCGGCUAAUUUUUGAAUUUUUAGUAGAGACAGGGUUUCACCAUGUUGGCCAGGCUGGUCUCAAACUCCUUACCUCAGGUGAUCCACCCACAUUGGCCUCCCAAAGUGCUGGGAUUGCAGGCGUGAGCCACCGUGCCCGGCCUCUCUGUUCCUUUAUUUAUCAUUCUAGAAUCACAUAGAGGCAGCUAAGUAGUUGCCCCCAGAAACAGGUAAGAACAAUUCGUUAAUUAAAUUAACUCCAAGGCCAAUCUGUGCUCUAGGCUGAAGGUGAAUCUGUUUCUCAACUCAAAUUAUACACAGCCAUCUUGUCUAAUACAAUUCCUCAAAGGUUAUUACAUGAAAUCUAAUUGACAGCAUAAAGAUACUCCAUAGUACAAAGUAAGCUAUUAAUUCAUAAAGUAUACUGAAUAUAAAUUGCCUUUCAUUAUGAUGUUUCCACAAAUAAAAAAAAUCAUUUUCCUUUUAUAAGUUAAAGUACGAACAGAUAUUAGAGAUGAAAGCCUUAAAGAAUUUUUUUAGCCUGUUUUAUUAUUGUUUUAAAAUUUACUACAGUGUACCCCUUUAUUGCCUGCACUGGGGGCAAUCCACUUCUGCCUUGCACUUAGCAUGACACUGCUUUUUAUUGACAUGUAACAUACAUUCAGAAACAGUGAUCAGAUGUAUCCAGAUCAAACAUCACCACCUAGGUCAAGAAAGAUGAUAUUACAGGUAUCCCAGAAGCCCACUCCACAACCCCUCCUAAUUGCUAACACCAUAUAUUAGUUUUGUCUCAUGUUUAUCUUCAAAUAAAUGGAAUCAAUCACACAGUA
rnacentral:lncRNA from 1 species